rnacentral:rRNA from 1 species
AUUACUCCUACGGGAGGCAGCAGUGGGGAAUAUUGCACAAUGGGGGAAACCCUGAUGCAGCCAUGCCGCGUGUGUGAAGAAGGCCUUCGGGUUGUAAAGCACUUUCAGCGAGGAGGAAAGGUUGAUACCUAAUACGUAUCAGCUGUGACGUUACUCGCAGAAGAAGCACCGGCUAACUCCGUGCCAGCAGCCGCGGUAAUAAUC